rnacentral:rRNA from 1 species
UGGGGAAUAUUGCACAAUGGGGGAAACCCUGAUGCAGCGAUGCCGCGUGGAGGAAGAAGGUUUUCGGAUUGUAAACUCCUUUUAUCAGGGACGAUAAUGACGGUACCUGAAGAAAAAGCUCCGGCUAACUACGUGCCAGCAGCCGCGGUAAUACGUAGGGAGCGAGCGUUGUCCGGAAUUACUGGGUGUAAAGGGAGCGUAGGUGGGACGGUAAGUCAGAUGUGAAAUAUACGUGCUCAACAUGUAGACUGCAUUUGAAACUGCUGUUCUUGAGUGAAGUAGAGGUAAGCGGAAUUCCUAGUGUAGCGGUGAAAUGCGUAGAUAUUAGGAGGAACAUCGGUGGCGAAGGCGGCUUACUGGGCUUUUACUGACGCUGAGGCUCGAAAGCGUGGGGAGCAAACAGG